GAAGUAAAAGUCGUAACAAGGUUUCCGUAGGUGAAGGUUCGCCUACCGAAAUUCCCCUGCAGCGACUCUAAAGAACUGUUCCAGUCACCCUAAGUAGAUGGGGUUGGCAACGCUAUCAGUCUGCCCUGGGAGCCCCCCGUUCUGGGGGUCGACCAGCAGCUCAGGGAACCCCUGAGUCCACAGAUCAAACGCCAGCGGCCACUUCCUAUGUGGUUUAGAUAUGACCGGCCCCAGCCGCUGACCGGCUGGGAAACUAUUGCGGAACCUGCGGAAGGAUCAUUACCGAGAGGGGGCCUCGUGCUCCAGGGGUUUCGGCCCCGUACUCUUCACCCUUUGCCUACCUACCUUUGUUGCUUUGGCGGGCCUCGGGGUAUAUCCCGCGCCGGCCAGGGCUUUGCCGCCUCGGCUUGUGAGCGCCCGUCGGGGGCCCAUUCAAUCCUGUUUUAUCGGUGACGUCCGAGUGAAAACACAAUCGUUAAAAACUUUCAACAACGGAUCUCUUGGUUCCAGCAUCGAUGAAGAACGCAGCGAAAUGCGAUAAGUAAUGUGAAUUGCAGAAUUCAGUGAAUCAUCGAAUCUUUGAACGCACAUUGCGCCCCUUGGUAUUCCGGGGGGCAUGCCUGUUCGAGCGUCAUUGCACCCCUCAAGCGCAGCUUGGUAUUGAGCCUUCGCCCCCGCGGCGGGCUCGAAAAGUAUUGGCGGUUCGGCGUAGACUUCAAGUGUAGUAAACUUCUCCCACUCUGGAAGUCGCGUCGUGGCCCGCCAGAUAACCCCCAUGAUUUCCAUUAUAGACCUCGGAUCGG
rnacentral:rRNA from 1 species